GACGAACGCUGGCGGCGUGCCUAACACAUGCAAGUCGAGCGGGGUUGAAGCGAGGGGUAACUCGGACUUCUACCUAGCGGCGGACGGGUGAGUAACGCGUGGGCAACCUGCCUCAAGGUUUGGGAUAACAGCUCGAAAGGGCUGCUAAUACCGGAUAUGCCUGUGGCCUCGCAUGGGGCUAUGAGCAAAGGGGAAACCCGCCUUGAGAUGGGCCCGCGUCCCAUCAGCUAGUUGGUGAGGUGAAGGCUCACCAAGGCGACGACGGGUAGCCGGCCUGAGAGGGUGACCGGCCACACUGGGACUGAGACACGGCCCAGACUCCUACGGGGGGCAGCAGUGGGGGAUCUUGCACAAUGGGCGAAAGCCUGAUGCAGCGACGCCGCGUGAGCGAAGAAGGCCUCGGUUGUAAGUCGUCUGUCUGGAGGGACGAAGGAAAUAGACGGUACCUCCGGAGGAAGCCACGGCUACUACGUGCCAGCAGCCGCGGUAAGUCUGUAGUCGU
rnacentral:rRNA from 1 species